GUAGCUCCACGGUAACCUGAGAGAUGGCCUGGAGGCAGGGUGGCAUGUUGUUUUUAAAGUGAUACAAGAGACACAGUGGAGACCGUCCAAUGAGUGGCAUGGCUGCCAGGAUGCCAACUGGGACACUAAAGCCCUGGCAGUGGGGGCUGCCCAGCAGGGCUGGCCACUGGAAAUAAGGUGAUACUCUCAACGAAGCUGGCUUCAUGCCAGUAUGGAAGCUGGGAAGUCCAAGACAAGGUGCUGCUGAUUGAGUUCUUGGUGAGGGUUCUCUUCCUGACUUGCAGGUGGCUGCCUUCUCGUUGUGUCCUCAGAUGGCAGAAAGAAGAGAGGAAGCAAGCUCUCUGGUGUCUCUCCUUACAAGGGUUCUAAUCUGGUCAUGGGGCCCCAGCCUCAUGACCUCAUCUAAACCCAAUUACUUCCCACAGACUCCACCUGCUAAGAUGCAAAUUCAUCUUCUAUCAUAGCCAAAGAAGACCAACAAAGACCAACAGAGGCCAUGUCUCUGGCAUUCGUCUCCAACAGCAGGCAGUAGAUUUGUUACAGAGACUAAAACCCACCUUAUUGCCAAGUGACCCUCCUCUCACCAGCCUCCCCUGCUGCCACCCAAAUUCCUGCCACUGAACUACUCCUCAAAAUAAAACACAGCUGUAAAAUGC
rnacentral:lncRNA from 1 species